AGCAGUAGAGAAAUGAAAAUUUUUAUGCUUUAGAGAUUGAACCUUAAAUCGCAUGUUUAUCAGCAAGUACGUCACGUCUCAACGAAAACACGUUUCUUAGGGCAUGCAAAAACUGUUCCGAAGGGCAAUGGAUGGCACAUUGGAAACGACGGCGAAAAAUCGCCGAAAGAUCCGCUCUUAUUCUAAAUUCAAGAAUGGGGGUGCGA